UCUGAUGUAAACUGAGCUGUGCCUUCUAGGUGAAGGACUUUCCACAUUUGUUACAUUCAUAAGGUUUCUCACCUGUGUGAAUUCUCUUAUGGCGGCUGAGGUUUGAAGUCUUAGUGAAGGACUUUCCACAUUUCUUACAUUCAUGUUUCU